rnacentral:lncRNA from 1 species
GGCCGGGAGGUGAGCGUCCCGGAGUCGGGCGGCCGCUCCGUUGACUGCAGGGCCCCGGCGGUCUUCCUCCGCUGUUCCGAGGCCGUUGAGGGCUGAUGUGCUCCAUCCUCCCACUUGUGGUUUGGCAAGCCAUCCAGCCGACUACAAACCCACGUUUGUGAGUUACCUGCUGGCUGUGACGCUUCCGUCAAAUCUGAACUAUCAAGAUCUCCACUUAGGGAAGUGGGAAUCUUAUUUGCGGAACAUUGGGCAGAAGCUUUGCCAUUGGCUGGUGGAGAAGGAGGAGGCAGAA